rnacentral:rRNA from 1 species
GGGGUUAAGUGUUAUUUAUUUUGGUUUUGUUUUGUGUUUAUUUUCAUAAAAAAUUAGUAAGUUUUGGUUAUUAGUAUGUUAAAGAAUUUUGUUUAAGGAUAAUAGUUAAUAAGUACAGUAAUGGGAGCAUUGAAAUUUGGGAGAAGUAGUGUUGGAUACUCGUACCUUUUGUAUCAGGGAUUAACUAUUUUAGCAUGUUAGUUGUGAAAUCCCGAAAUAAGAAGAGCUAGGAUUUUAUUACUUUUCUUCGUUGCAGAGAGGUUUGCAAGGUAUUCUUAGUGGUGAUAUGUUAGUCGAUUUUUGUAUAUCUGGUUCCUUAUUAAAUAAAUUUAAUUUUACACCUGGUUUAAACUUAAUUUGGUAGUAAGGGUAGGAGGAAUGAGCUUCUUAUCUUUUAUUUUAUCGAACAUUUAGUUGUGUGACUCGUUUUAGGUGGGCUUUAAGUCAGCCAUCUUAAUAUAACGUUAAAGUAAUGUCGAAUUGUUGUUUAUUUUUUUAAAAUGUUUGUUACUGUCUAGUAGGGAAUUUUAUCUAUUGUUUAAAUAAAAGAUAAAGUGUUUGUAUAAGUAUAAUUAAAGUUUGUUUUUAUGUUUAAGUGAAAUUAAGUAUUUAGUGGACGAGAGGUGCAUGGAAGGAAUUCGGCAAAUACUACCUCCGCCUGUUUAUCAAAAACAUGUCUGUGUGAAUUAGUUAUAAAGUCUAGCCUGCCCACUGAUUGUUUAAAGGGCCGCGGUAAUUUGACCGUGCGAAGGUAGCAUAGUCAGUAGUCUUUUAAUUGAAGGCUUGAAUGAAGGGUUGGACGAGGGGUAAGCUGUCUCCUUUGCAGUGUUUGAAUUUAACUUUUGAGUGAAAAGGCUUAAAUUAUUUAGUGGGACGAUAAGACCCUAUAAAACUUAAUAUAGGUUUAGCUUGAUUUGCAAUUAUGGGUGAAAAGUGGUUUUGUCUAGGCUUAUAUUUUGUUGGGGAGAUGUAGAUAUAAUGUGUAACUGUCUGUUGAAUUUAAUAGUUAUGAUUAGUGUGUGAUCCUUCAUUUGUGGAUUAAGAGAAUAAGUUACUUUAGGGAUAACAGCGUAAUUUUCUUUGAGAGUUCUUAUCGACAAGAGUAGUUGCGACCUCGAUGUUGAAUUAAAGUUUCAGCUAGGUGUAGCCGUUUAGCUGGUAGGUCUGUUCGACCUUUAAAAUUUUACAUGAUUUGAGUUCAAACCGGUGUGAGCCAGGUUGGUUUCUAUCUUUUAUAUGUUAAUGAGUGGUCUUAGUACGAAAGGAUUAGGCUUCUGGGAUAGUUCCUUUUUGAGAUGGUCUUUAAAUGA